rnacentral:rRNA from 1 species
UACGGGGGGGGCAAGCGUUGUUCGGAAUUACUGGGCGUAAAGGGCUCGUAGGCGGCCAACUAAGUCAGACGUGAAAUCCCUCGGCUUAACCGGGGAACUGCGUCUGAUACUGGUUGGCUUGAGUGUGGGAGAGGGAUGCGGAAUUCCAGGUGUAGCGGUGAAAUGCGCAGAUAUCGGGAGGAACACCGGUGGCGAAGGCGGUUCUCUGGGCCUGUACUGACGCUGAGGAGCGAAAGCGUGGGGAGCGAACAGG